GCCGCGGUGGUCUAGUGGUUAUGGUGCUGGACUUCUGAUCCGAACGUCGCGGGAUCGAACCCCGGCCGCGGCG